rnacentral:rRNA from 1 species
AGUGAACGCUGGCGGUAGGCCUAACACAUGCAAGUCGAACGGCAGCACAGUAAGAGCUUGCUCUUACGGGUGGCGAGUGGCGGACGGGUGAGGAAUACAUCGGAAUCUACUUUUUCGUGGGGGAUAACGUAGGGAAACUUACGCUAAUACCGCAUACGACCUACGGGUGAAAGCAGGGGAUCUUCGGACCUUGCGCGAUUGAAUGAGCCGAUGCCGGAUUAGCUAGUUGGCGGGGUAAAGGCCCACCAAGGCGACGAUCCGUAGCUGGUCUGAGAGGAUGAGCGGCCACACUGGAACUGAGACACGGUCCAGACUCAUACGGGAGGCAGCAGUGGGGAUUAUUGGACAAUGGGCGCAAGCCUGACCCAGCCAUACCGAGUAGGUGAAGAAGGCCUUCGGGUUGUAAAGCCCUUUUGUUGGGAAAGAAAAGCAGCAGGUUAAUACCCCGCUGUUCUGACGGUACCCAAAGAAUAAGCACCGGCUAACUUCGUG